GGAAGUAAAAGUCGUAACAAGGUUUUCGUAGGUGAACCUGCGGAAGGAUCAUUAAUGAAUUCGGGCGCUCGACUCUGAAAUAUUGAGAUCGGCCCCAUUUCUUAAUCCACUUCACACUUGUGCACAUUUUUCCUACUUUCCUUCGGGAGAGUUUGAAAAGCUCUUGUGAUUUUAAUCAAGUCCAGGAUGUGAAUCCAAUUUGAAUAAGUUGUAAAACAACUACAAACGGUGGAUCUCUUGGCUCUCGUAUCGAUGAAGAACGCAGCGAAACGCGAAAUGUAAUGUGAAUUGCAGAAUUCAGUGAAUCAUCGAAUCUUUGAACGCAUCUUGCACUCUCGAAUCACUAUCGAGAGUAUGCCUGUUUGAGUGUCGCGAAACUCUCAACCCCGCCUCAUGCUUUAUUGCGUGUGGGUAGCUUGGGCUUGGAUCAUGAUCUUUGCAGUAAUGCGCUAGCAGAACUGCUGGAUUGAAAUACAACAAGCUGAAUCUAUAUACUUGCGGCUUGACCUGUCGUUGUAAGCACACAAAUGCAUUCGAUGGGGACGCGAGAAAAUGGAAUGAGCUUUCCAAAUGUGUUACACUUUGCAGCUUCUAAUAACUUAGAGCUCUUAGUGCAUUCUGACCUCAAAUCAGGUAGGAUUACCCGCUGAACUUAAGCAUAUCAAUAAGCGGAGGAA
rnacentral:rRNA from 1 species